GUACCGGGCUCCUCCCAGUGUCAA
rnacentral:piRNA from 1 species